rnacentral:rRNA from 1 species
UACGGGGGGAGCAAGCGUUGUUCGGAUUUACUGGGCGUAAAGGGCGCGUAGGCGGGCAGGUAAGUCAGUGGUGAAAUCCCCGAGCUCAACUUGGGAAUUGCCGUUGAUACUAUCUGUCUUGAAUAUCGUGGAGGUGAGCGGAAUAUGUCAUGUAGCGGUGAAAUGCUUAGAUAUGACAUAGAACACCCAUUGCGAAGGCAGCUCACUACACGAUAAUUGACGCUGAGGCACGAAAGCGUGGGGAGCAAACAGG